CAGGCGGGCACCUCUUAGAUAAGCUUAACGACUAAUUCCAAAUAAAAUCACGAUGGGACGGGAACAAUGUGGAGCUAAAAACCGCAAACCUGUGCCAGGAUCCCCUGCCAGGAUAGUCUGGAACGAUGACCACCGUGAUUAAGUCAAGUCAGCAUGACCCUCCACGUUCACUGAAAUUGAACAAGCUCAUUGUCGCCGUCUGAGCCGUGUGCUCUGCUGAGAGCUGCGUAAUGUGGAUUAUGUGGGAGGCUAAACAUUGUGGCGUGGCUUCGGUCAAACUGAGAUCAGCUCAGAACUUCUGCCGGCGACAUCUCUCUGAUGGAAUUCAUGCAACGCGUUCAUACAACAGGUGCUGCGGCGGAUGAAUGGAUGCUGAUGCUUGACGUCAGCCGGCUCUCGGUGAUAUCAUCUGGCUUCGGUCGGUCUGCAGGAGGGGAGAUGACUUACAGUAUAUAUGUUCUGCCUCUAAAUAACACACAUUCCCUGAAUUUUAACAGUCGUAUUGAUUUUUCGAGCCUGGACAGCGACGCUCAUUUACCCCAUUAUUUAUAGAAGAUGCACUAAAAGAAUGAAUAUAUUUCAAUUUCACAACUUUAUUUUACUGUGAGUGUGAGGUUCUCUACGGUUAUAAACACUGGUGAUCUACCGAUGCAAAGCAGAAUACGCGCCCUCGUCUCAUUUAUAAUGUGUUCUGAGUCAAGUUUAUUCAUUGGAUGACGGCGUAAUCGUAAUACAUCAUACUCAGACGUGGAUGGCGAAGCGCCCUCACAUGUUAUUUGUCCCGAAGGCCCACUGAAGCUGCUUAGUUUUAGGGUUUCUCCGAGAUCCCACUGUCUCGACGGUAUCGAUCAGACUUGCAUCACUGGGCUGAUUUUAUUAGAUGGCUCUGACCUUUCUACUGCAGGCAUCAUGUUAAUAUUGCCAAAUCAAUGGACAUGAAUAUGGUGAUGCGGGGAACGUGGGCACAGGGAGACAAUAAAAACAAAUGGAGAGAAGCGUGCCUGUAUAUGUGUGUAUGUGUGUGGUCCCUUAAAUUAGGGUGCAGUUUUUCUGUUUUUCUUCCAAAAAAGUCACCUGGGAAGGAUUGAAAGUACUGUAGCUAAGACACAGGGGAAAAAAAGAAAAAAAGGGAAGAAAGCUCCCCGGAUGUCUGUGGCGCUCACCAGCAUUUGAGAUAAAUGGACUACUGUGAAUUUUUAUUGGGGGACAUUAAAAAACCAGAAUCGCAGUUCAUCUUGGA